rnacentral:rRNA from 1 species
CAGCAGCACGGGAAUACAGAGGGUGCGAGCGUUAAUCGGAUUUACUGGGCGUAAAGCGUGCGUAGGCGGCUUCUUAAGUCGGAUGUGAAAUCCCUGAGCUUAACUUAGGAAUUGCAUUCGAUACUGGGAAGCUAGAGUAUGGGAGAGGAUGGUAGAAUUCCAGGUGUAGCGGUGAAAUGCGUAGAGAUCUGGAGGAAUACCGAUGGCGAAGGCAGCCAUCUGGCCUAAUACUGACGCUGAGGUACGAAAGCAUGGGGAGCAAACAGGAUUAGAUACCCCGGUAGUCCCUGUCUCUUAUACA